rnacentral:rRNA from 1 species
UUUCGAAUCAUUCACAAUGGGCGAAAGCCUGAUGGUGCGACGCCGCGUGAGGGAUGAAGGCCUUCGGGUCGUAAACCUCUGUCACCGGGGAAGAAACGCUUCAAGUUAACAGCUUGAAGCCUGACUUAACCCGGAGAGGAAGCAGUGGCUAACUCUGUGCCAGCAGCCGCGGUAAUACAGAGACUGCAAGCGUUAUUCGGAUUCACUGGGCGUAAAGGGUGCGCAGGCGGCCGUGUGUGUGAGGUGUGAAAGCCCGAUGCUUAACAUCGGAAUUGCACCUCAAACUAUACGGCUAGAGCAUUGGAGAGGGUAGCGGAAUUCACGGUGUAGCAGUGAAAUGCGUAGAUAUCGUGAGGAACACCAGAGGCGAAGGCGGCUACCUGGACAAUUGCUGACGCUCAGGCACGAAAGCGUGGGGAGCAAAAG